AGGGUCUCGUCCAGUGCGUGUCCAGUCCUUCAACUUUACCUUCAUUUUGGAAAAGUGGAUGAACUCACAAGGAGGCAAAUCCCAGCAGAGCAUCGCAUUAUAAAGUUAUGAUUAAUUUUUUUUUUUGAACUGUCAGCGGAAAGAAUAAGGCUCCUGCAAAGUCUGAAGGUGUGCGUUGUGGGCUCUGAGCUACAUCAGCUGUCACACAGUGAAGAAUGAGAAUUAUCCUGUUUUUUUAUUUUACUUAGAUUUUUGUUAAUAAACAACGGAACAAGAAGGAUGGAAGGAUUUCUGCAAGAACAAUCCACAUAUUGACACAUAUUAAAACAAUAUUCACAAAAAAGUCACAAACUUAUGUGUAAUU
ensembl:lncRNA